UCAAGUGUAUUGACUAAUCUCUCUAUGAGUUCUCUAGUCAGGAUUGAUCAUCCAUCUAUGAGGUUGAGGAAAACUUCUUCAUUGCACGGAAUUGUGAGGCCUCCCAUUGGAUGAUCGAAGCCAAACUCCUCCUCAGCUUGACUCAGCAGGUCCUGGAACGAGGGCCGAGAUAAGUAUGACAGAGGAACGAUGAAUCUCUUCUUUUGGUUUUCUCCUACAUAAACUGGGAAAUACCCCUUUGGAACGUCUAAGGGAGCAGAAUCUACUUCUCUGCGACCAGAUAGAGACCGCCGCAACUUUUUUCCUGGCAAACUGAUCCCCAUAAUCAUAAGUCUGAAAUCUGUUUCCAAAAGGAAAGACUUGAGGACGAUGCUAUGCCACUUGCUGGAAGGAAGUAGGAAGAAAUGUGAAUUUUGAUUUGGGUGCAGAAGCAAUGGCUUGGUAAUGUAUAUAUAGGGUGAGUGGAUGGCAAGUGAGCCUAUCUGCCAAGCUGAAUGAGUGAUGAGGAGGUUGCAGCAUACAGGGCCAAAGGAGAAACAUGGGCUGUUGGGGGCUCACGUGUCAAUGUCUGCCAAACCUCAAGAAACUCUAGAGCUCAUUAUUGCAGCAAACAUCAUGGCCCACGUCUCCUGAAGACAGGAUUCCUCACAGGUCCUACUGAAAUCUGAAGAGAUUGUGGUUGAUGUGAACUACCUCUCUCGGUUAGUUGGAGAGGACUCCUUAACAAACCAUUUGUCCCAGGACUAAUAAACAGCCCUCCCAAAUUUGUGGUGUUAGUCACUCACUCAUGACUCAACUAACAGGCCGUUUUCCACUUCAUACGGACCUUGACCCUAAAAUGAGUGCUUUACAAUCCUAUCUAGGCUUGAGCAUAUUACCUUUUCCUUUUCUCAAUUGCAGGAAACAUGGCACUCAAGAAGUAUUGUGGGUUUCAAAUGGAUAAAAUAUGAUGCUUUCUUGGAGAGAGUGGUGGUACAAGAUCCUCCUGUUAAAUUUGGCAGAACAACAGCGUACCACUUGUACCAACCAACAUGUUUGAGACAUUAGCCAAUGUUGCCACAUGAGUAGCAGGGUCACCUGAAAUGACAUGGCUUAGCAGUGGUUUAAUAUCACCGGGUAGUUGUUUUAUCAAGAAAAUAAGGUUCGGUGAUGAGGCAUAUCACACCCUGGAUAAUAUAGGUCUUGUAUUGACUGUAUGGCAAUUCCUGGAUCUAAUCUAAAUACUGUCCAUUGGCCACAAUUUGUGUCCUGGUUGCACACUUUGCUGUACUUCGCCCCUGAAUCAAUCAAUGGUAUAUAUGCAAACAUGUACUGGAUCAGAUGAAAAAUUCAAAUGUUUAGGGAACAAAGAAAAUGUUGGAAAUUGUGAUCCAUUUUCUCUAAAAAUAUCUAGAAACUACUAACUUAAUCAUGAAGGUGAGAACCUUCUAGAAUUGUUGAGAAUGGAGAUUGCUAGUUGAAUCUAGAAGAUUCACAUGGGAAUGCAAGCAAGCAAAAGCCAAGCAUCAAAGAAAAUCCUAGAACAAGCAAGAGAAGUCUAGAGAAGUCCAUGCUUCAAGAGAAGUCUAGAAUUCUAGAAUGCUUCAAGAGAAGUCUAGAAUUCUACAAUGCUUCAAGAGAAGUCUAGAAUUCUCUAUCUUAUGUUAGUAUCUAUUUGUAGAGAAGUCUAGAGACUUCCUCCACCUACUUUGGUAGCCUAUAUAAAGGAGCAAGUGCUCCAUGUUUUGGUGAAGGGAGCUAACCAUAAAAACCACACAUCAUGCUCCCUUACCAACACCUCAACUAUUGUAAAAUUAUUUUCAUAAACUAGUGAAACUAUCUUUGUCCCAUAAACCUUCUCAAAAGAUCCUAUCAUUGUCCCUUGUCCAUCCCCUAUCAAAUAUAAACUAUACCAUGCUUCCGCGCACAUUUAAAUUCUAACAUGGUAUCAGAGCUAGGUUACGCCCAGGUUCGUAACUGAGCCAGGCGUAAGGGACCAUGAAGCCAAAACCAGGCAUAUCGGAUGGUUAUGGGCGUUUGUCCUCACCAUCCUCAACUAAAAAGGCUAGAGCCCGAGCGAGACCCAAUAGAGCUAGAGCCGGAGCCAGAGCCAAAAUCAAAGGCCAGAGCCCGAGCGAAAGCCAACAGAGCCAGAGCUGGAGCUAGAGCCAAAAUCAAAGCCGGAGCCAGAGCCAGAGCCUACGAGAGCCAGAGCCAGAGCCCGAACUAACAACUACAACUAAGAGCAUUUUGCCACAAGACAUAUGGGACAUCAUUAAAGAAAAGACAUAUGCAUGUUCAAAGGCAAGUGCAAGUGGUUCGACAAAAGGAUACAAGGGAUUGUGGCACAAAGACAACACAAAAGGCAUUGGACAAAUUACAAGAGAAAUUUCAAGGUAUGUCCGAGACUUUACAACACAAGUCCGGAUUAUCUCGAAAAUGGAUCAAGGGGGAGUGUUGGAAAUUGUGAUCCAUUUUCUCUAAAAAUAUCUAGAAACUACUAACUUAAUCAUGAAGGUGAGAAUCUUCUAGAAUUGUUGAGAAUGGAGAUUGCUAGUUGAAUCUAGAAGAUUCACAUGGGAAUGCAAGCAAGCAAAAGCCAAGCAUCAAAGAAAAUCCUAGAACAAGCAAGAGAAGUCUAGAGAAGUCCAUGCUUCAAGAGAAGUCUAGAAUUCUAGAAUGCUUCAAGAGAAGUCUAGAAUUCUCUAUCUUAUGUUAGUAGCUAUUUGUAGAGAAGUCUAGAGACUUCCUCUACCUACUUUGGUAGCCUAUAUAAAGGAGCAAGUGCUCCAUGUUUUGGUGAAGGGAGCUAACCAUAAAAACCACACACCAUGCUCCCUCACCAACACCUCAACUAUUGUAAAAUUAUUUUCAUAAACUAGUGAAACUAUCUUUGUCCCAUAAACCUUCUCAAAAGAUCCUAUUAUUGUCCCUUGUCCAUCCUCUAUCAAAUAUAAACUAUAUCAUGCUUCCGCGUACAUUUAAAUUCUAACAGAAAAACCAGAAAUUACAGAGAUUCAGGCCUAGAAAAGCAAAAGUUGAGAGGGUAGGAAAAACGUUUGCCUCCAGGUUCGUCGUGUGGCAGACUUGUAAUAUACUGAUUCUAUGGAGAAAUUGACAAGAUUCAGCCAACUAGUUUUUAGCUUAUAUGAAGUUAAGAAUGGCAGAAAUGGUAGUGACAUCUAAAUCCAGAUGUAACACCCCUUCAAACUUCAUUUGGAAACAAUUUGGAUGGAGAUAUGCAUUUCAUUUUGCAAUCUACCAUUUAGCUCCAGUUUAUUGACUUGAUCUACAAUAGAUCUAAUUGACCUUUUCGUCUCCAUUCCUUGUCAUGCAAAAAUUCUUUUAGGCCGUGCUGAGAAAUACAACGAUUACCACAACUCUGAACAGUAGCAUGUAAAAGCAAGUCUUGUAGAUUAUUUUUCUCAGAACCAUCGCCAGUUCACAUAAAACAAGAGGAGGAAACAAGAGUGCUUUUAGCAGAAGCUAAUCACACAAAAGAUCAAUCCGUAAUGAGGUAGAUAACCAGAGACUCAACUUCUUUACUUUCGGCACAAAGUGAUUACCAAAAGGAUGAAAUCGAUCACUAGGAACACCACAUAUCCACAUAUUCAUGAAAAUCAAUGUCAUUGAUCCAAAUUGCAUCUUCAAUUGUACAUCUAUCUAUCUCCUUAAACUGGUACUCCCUAAACAAUAGGGGAAAAUAUCAACACCAGUUGUAAAAUUUGUAUACAAAAUCAUGUCAAGUGUAUCAACUAAUCUAUCUAGGAGUUCUCCAGUCAGGGUUGAUCAUCCAUCUAUGAGGCUGAGGAAAACUUCUUCAUUGCAUGGAAUCGUGAGGCCUCCCAUUGGAUGGUCAAAGCCGAACUCCUCAGCUUGAUUCAGCAGGUCCUGGAAUGAGGGCCGAGAUAAGUAUGACAGAGGAAUGAUGAAUCUCUUCUUUUGGUUUUCUCCCACAUAAACUGGGAAAUGCCCCUUUGGAACGUCUAAGGGAGCAGAACCUACUUCUCUGCUACCAGAUAGAGACCGCCGCAACUUUUUUCCUGGCAAACUGAUCCCCAUGAUCAUCAGUCUGAAAUCUCUUUUCAAAAGGAAAGACUUGAGGAAGAUGCUAUGCCACUCGCUGGAAGGAAAUAGGAAGAAAUGUGAAUUCUGACUUGGGUGCAGAAGCAUUGGCUUGGAAGGCAUAUAUAGGGUGAGUGGAUGGCGAGUCUAUCUGCUAAGCUCAAUGAGUGAUAAGGAGGUUGCAGCAUAUAGGGCCAAAAGAGAGACAUGGGCUGUUGGGAGUUCACAUGUUGAUGUCUGCCAAACCUCAUAAGACUUUAGAGCUCAUUAUUGCAGCAAACAUCAUGCCCCACCUCUCCUAAAGUCAGGAUUCCUCGCAGGUCCUACUGAAAUCCGAAGAGAUUGUGGUUCAUGUGAACAGCCUCUUGGUUAGUUGGAGAGGACUAUGAACAAACCAUUUCUCAGGACUAAUAAACAACACUCCCAAAUUCGUGGCGCGAUCACUCAUUCAUGACUCAACUAACAGGCCCGUUUCUAGUUCAUAUGGACCUCAAAACGAGUGCUUUGCAAUCCUAUCUAGGCCUUAGCAUAUUACCUUUCCUUUUCUCAGUUGCAAGAAAUAUGAGGUCCUAGAAAUAAAUUGGUGUCAAUCAUACCUUUCUUAAAACCAUUACUCACUAGAAACUUACUCAACAUUUCGUAUUAAGCAUGAGGUGUUUGCUUUAGACCAAUAAGGCUUUCUUCAGUUUGUAGAUAAAGUUUGAUUUUCUAGAAUUUUCAAAUCUUGGAGGUUGUUCCACAUAGAUUUUUUUUGAAUGAAACCAUUGAGAAAAGUACUUUUGAAGUCCAUCUGAAAUAGUUUAAAGUUAUGAAAACAUGCAUAAGCUAAUAGCAGCCUUAUGGUUUCCAACCUAGCUAUAGGUGCAUAUGUUUCAUCAUAGUCUGUUUCUUGUUCUUGUGCAUAUCCUUUUGCCAUGCAUCUUGCCUUGUUUCUGAUCAUUUUUCCCUUUUUAUCCAUCUUGUUUUUGAACACUCAUUUAGUUUUAAUCACAAAUUUUCCUCUUGGUUUGGGAACCAACUUUCAAACAUCAUUGAUCUUGAAUUAUCAAAGUUUUUCUUGCAUUGCUUUCAUCUAGCUUUCAUCGGAUAAAAUUUCUUCUAUUCCCUUUGGUUUCACUUUAGAAACAAGUGCUAAAGCAUUUAGAUCUUCUUUUCCUUUGGAUCCGGUGUAGAUCCCUUCUUCUAUAUUACCAAUAAUGAGGUCUUUAAGAUGACUUAAUUUGUGCUUCCAAUUAUUGUUGAAUUUGUCACUUUCUUCAAGAGUCUCCUGUGGCUCUGUCUGUAUUAAUUCUUUCGUUUUAUCUUCAAUUUAAACAUGUUCAACGGAAGGCUAAUCCUAUCCUGGAGACUCAGACUUUGUUAAAUUUGAGACUAACUUAGAUUCUUCAAGCUGAGUCUGAUCACGUUGAUUCUGACAGCCUUCUUGAAAUCUGACGUUCAUUGAUUCUUCAAUAGUCUAGGUGCUUUUGUUGAAGACUAUGUAUGCCUUGUUGUAGAAUAUCUGAGAAAUAUUCAUUCUUUUGACUUUUCCUCAAACUUACCCAGACGAUCAUUUGUAUUUUUCAAGAUAAAACACUUGCAACCAAAAUAAAUUUCUGCCUUAGUAGAUUUCAUAUGGGGUUUUCAUUAAUGAUAGGCCUAAAAGAUACUUUGUUAAUUUAUAUAGCAAGCAAUAGAGACUGCUUCUGUCUAGAAGUGAGAAGAAACUCUACCUUCAAUUAACAGAGUUUUGGGCAUUUCUUGCAAAGACCGAUUUUUCCUUUCUAUAACUCCAUUAUGUUUUGGAGUGUAAGGGGAAGAGAACAUAUUGAAAACAAUUUUCAUUACAAAAACUUGUAAACUCUUGAUUUUUGAAUUCUCUCAUAUGGUUUGUUUUGAUGUUGGAAAUUGUGUAGCCUUUCUCAUUUUGAACAUUUUUAGCAAACUUUAAAAAGUAAGGGAAGGCUUCUAUUUUUUUUGCUAAAAAGAAGAGGCUUCUAUUUUUUGUUUGCUAUAAAGAAGACCCGUGAAAACAUUGAGUAAUCAUCUACAAUCACUAAACAAUAUUUCUUGCCUCAAAUACUUUGGGUUCUGGCUUAUCUUACGUCCUUUUUUACUUACCCGAAAAAGGGUCAAAUUGUUCGAACCUUUCCCUUUUUCGCCCCCAUGUCGCCAUGCAGGAGGGGCAUGGGGACAUUAAUUUCCUAUUUUUGUAAAAAAAAAUACAAUUAAAAAAAAAGACUCAAAAUGAACGUAUCUUUCUAACAUUCAUUCUUCACCAUCCCAUUGUCGAAAAAAAGAUAUCGUAUGUAUCGAUAAAUUGUCAAAACAAAAAUUUGAUUCUUUUUACGAAUUUGAUAUUGAAAAUCCGCGAAUCUAGAAAUUCAUUUCGGACAAUUGAACCUUCUCAAACCCCGAAAAUAUCCAUGUGAAGGAGCUGCAAAUAUGUUUUAUGGAUUUGAAUGAACUUCUAACCUGUUUUCCCAAAGUGCAUGGAGUACAUAGCCAUAUUAAAGAGACCAUGGACCAGCUCCUUGGAAGAUAGCUUCAUGAUUUGUUUCACUUUAUAGGAUUGAAGAGUUCUAAUGAGUUCAUCAACUGAAAGUGGCAUAAUCCUUUGCGUUUCUCAUAUUGAGGUUUUGACAUGAUUCUAGUUCUUUGAGAGCCCUCGCAGAAGUUUGUUAACAUUCAUUGAAGAAAAAAUUGAUUGUCCUUGAUAUGCCAUACCACUCACAAUUUUUGUGAAAUGACUGAACAUAUCUCCAAUAGAUUCUCUAGACUUCAUUUUGAAAGACUCCUAUUGACCAAGCAAAAUGUUCACUUUUGUUUCUUUUACACGAUUUGUUCCUUCGUAUGUAACAUGAAGUCUAUCCCAGAUUUCUUUGGUUGUUUCACACGAAAAAAUUCUGUUAUACUUAACAGGAGAUAAAGUACAAUAUAAAUAAUAGAUGGCUUUGACAUCAAAGGCCUGUCUCUUGGUAAUUUCUGCUUGAUCGAUUUCUUCAGCAUCUAUUACUUCUUUUCCCUUGUUUGAAGUCAAAACAACCUUUGGAUUAAUUCAUUUUUUCCACAACAUCCCACUCUAGAGGAUCUCUGGAUUCUAGGAAUGCCUUCAUUUUAUUUUUCCACACAUUGUAUUCCUUUCUAUCAAAAUAAGGUGGCUUGGUGUUGUUGUGUCCUUCCACGAGUCUUGGUGCCAAGAUACUAGCCAUAGAAAAUCUUUAGUUUAGAAAUAAGAACACUCCAAGAAGAUGAGCACAAGGCUCUAUACCAAUUGAAGAAGCUAGACAUAACACCUAGAGGGGAGUGAAUAGGUGUUUGAAAGAAAUCUUGACAAAUAAAUCCAAAGUAAAAUAAAUUACAAGCAAAGUCUGGAUGAAAAACAUAAUUAGUUUCAAGGAACACCAGACUUCUUAAUUAGAGAGUGUGCAAUAGACUUAAAAUAAACAGAGUUGAGAGAAGAGAAAAUUGCGUACGAAUUUUAUAAUGGUUUGGCUUAAAUUAAGCUUAUGUAAACUCUUUCACACUAACAGCCUAUUGGCUGGAUUUCACUAUAUGAUCAAUAGAAGAUCACAACUUAUUAGUGCAAACACUCAAUGGUAGAUUUCGCUAGCUCACUAAGACAUUCCUUUUGUGUAUUUCUAUCUUGAUCGCAAUUUGUAAUGCUCACAAACGAAGACAGGUAAUUGAGAGAAGUUUCAGACUUUAGAAUUCUAAUUUCACGUUCCCCUAAUCAACUUGGCCGAAUGACCUUCCUUUAAAUGCUCCUCAAUGCAAUACUAGCCGUUGAACAGAAUCAUUCAAGAAAAUUCUUCCAAUCAAGCCGUUGGAUAGAAUCGUUCAAGGAAAUCUUGUGCCCAUUGACGAUAGGAAUGUAAAUUCCACUUGAUUAUGUUUGUCCAUACAACUAGAAUCUUGGUUUCCAUAAAUGAUGUUUCCUCAUAUGGAACUUACCUUCGAGAUUGAUUUUGUCAAUAUAUAAUUGACUUAAUCAAUGUUUUUGAAUAAGAUAAGUGAAAUCCUUAGCUAGAAGAUAAUCACUGAAGAAUUGUUUUUAGAGGAAGUUCUUUCUGGAUUUGUGUUGCAACAUCACUAGAUCUAGUUCUAGACUAUUCCUUGUUCUAGAUAUUAUAUUGUUUUGGGCUCAUCAAAGAGGGAUAUACUUCUGAAAAAGUAUUGUUAAGAGUCAUUGAAAAUUCUUCCGAAGUAAAGACGAUAGAAGUAGAAAAUUUCAUCAACUUCAAAAUUUGGUAGAAGUUUUCUUUAACAGUCUUUACUCUAUUUGUAUCAUGUUGGGGCAUUUAUGGGUUCCUUAAGAGAUCGUGCUCUUUUAAAUUGAGAAGCAGCUAUAUAUUGGCAUAAAAUGAAGCUGGCUGUCGGGCAAAUUAAAGUAUCACGUGAUCAUCGAGAAAUCUUCCGUUGCCCCAGAAUUUGUUGCAACGGAAUUCUGCCCAACUAUGAGGAGACAGACAAUAAAUAAACUUAAGAAUAUGACUGGUUAGCCAGAACAAGAGGAAUGAUUUGGGUAAGUGUCACCCUUGGCUCAUGAAAAUGCUGAAGAAACCAAAAAGCUAUAUCCUGAUGGCGAAGAAAGUGCCUAAUCUCCUAGCUUAACUAACCUCCCAACUCUGUAUCCGUGCCUCUAGAUCAUUCACUCUCUUCACUUUAACAAACAAGAGUUUUAGCUGGCAGCUUUUAUUCAGAAAUAGACAAACGAGCCAGAUUGAUGACAACUCAGCUUACACCGAAGGACCAACAUUUUUUAUGUAAGAAAAACAUUUUCUUUCCUGUUGAGUUUAACUGAAUAAGUUUUUUUUUUUUGUCAAAAACAUAAGUUAGUAAGCCAUGGAACAUAGAUAAAAGAUUCAUGGGAUAAGUGUUCCAGAAGUCUUAUAAUUUGUCACGAGAAUGUAUUUCAGUCCUAAAACUUGCAAAAAGUGCAUUUAAGUUCUAAAACUUGUCAAAUUGUUUCAAACGAAUCCUAAAAUCGACGCCGUUAGCCUUUUCUGUUAAAAAUGCUGACAUUGCAUUUUAAAUAAUUUUUUAUUUUCCACGUGGAUUUUUAAAUUAUUAUUAUUUUUAAAUAGAUUUAAAAACUAAAAAAAUUAAAUUUAUUCAUUUUAUCUUAUUUUCACCAAAAACUUUUUAAAAAGUUAAAAUAUUUUUUUUUAAAAAAAACAGCGACUCCUCUCCCCCGCUGCCGCCCAUUGCCGGAGGGGCCGGGCGACGGUCGCCAGCGACAGGGGUGGCCGGGCCUCGCCGGCCCCAGGUGAGGGCCGGGCGAGCCUUGCUGGCCCCAAGCGAGGGCCGACAAGACCUCGCCCAAGGCAGACGACAGUCGCUGGCCCCCCCGUGAGGGCCGGCGACGUCUCGCCCAGACGGGAACGGCAGGAAGACAGAAUCACCUCCACCACUACCCCCACGUGACAACCUUGACCUCUAGUGAACCCGAUCUGCAUGCUCCCUUCAGCCCGCAUGCAAGGGCGAGCUGGAGGCGAGCUGGGACUUACCUUGUCCUUCUCUACGACAUAACCGCACGUGAAGACAGCGAGGUCGCCCUGCUCCUCUUGAUCAGAAAGUGGAAGUCGAACAGCCCUCGACGCACCGGCUGAGGGAGGAUGACGCGAUGAAAGUUGAGCAGCGGCAGGAUGCGUAGAACCCGUUGUUCUUCGGCCACUUGGGACCUGUGAGUCUUCACUAGAGCAGACGGCACAAAGUGUGGAAAGGAGUGAGCGAAAGAUAGGAGGGAGGAGACGAGAACCUCUGAGCUAGAUUCUAGAGGUAAGGGAGGACUUGNNNNNNNNNNNNNNNNNNNNNNNNNNNNNNNNNNNNNNNNNNNNNNNNNNNNNNNNNNNNNNNNNNNNNNNNNNNNNNNNNNNNNNNNNNNNNNNNNNNNAGCCGAGUAGAUCAAGAUCCACGCUCCUUAGAUCCUCUCCCGGACUCCAGUGCCUUAGAGAUUAUAGUCGCUCACGUCCACCGAACACAGGAGGAUCUGGAUCAUUUUCUUCGAAUGUCUUCCACAAGGGCUAGCGUCCGUCCUCCCGCCCUGGGAAGAGCUGUCAUCACACCUGGGCGAGGCCGUGUCUGCCCUCGCUCGGGGCCGGAUAGGCUCUCCCAGAUGUAGCGAUCCUCACCGUCCACAAGCGAGGACCGACGAGUUCUCGUUCAGGGUGGGCGACGGUCGCAGACCUUCGCAAGGGGCCAGCGAGGCCCGGAAACAUACCUGCACAAGGCUGCUCUCCGUCGCCCAGCCCCUCCGGAGAUGGGCAGCGGAGAGGAGCCGCGUUGAUUUUUUUUUUUAACAAUUUUAAAAAUAAUUUUUUAAACUUUUCUUUUUAGUUUUUUUGAAAAUAAGAUAAUAAUAAAUUUAAUUUUUUAGUUUUUAAAUCUAUUUUUUUAAAAAAAAUAAUUAAAAAAUACACCUGGAAAAUAAAAAAUUAUUUAAAAUGCCACGUCAGCAUUUUUAACGGAAAAGGCUAACAACGUCAAUUUUAGGACUCGUUUGAAACAAUUUGACAAAUUUUAGGACUUAAAUGCACUUUUUUUAUAAGUUUUAGGACUGAAAUGUAUUUUCGUGACAAGUUUUAGAACUUCUGGAAUACUUAUCCCAAGAUUCAUCACUAUUGCUGUUCAUGAGCAUCCCUGGAGGCCAGAAGCCAACAGAUUGUCGGAUCUUAUGAUAUAAGAAGAGCUUGAAUCGCAUCACCUUUUGUAGUAGGAAAAUCUCACACAGAGUAGAUGCCAUUUUUCUACUUCCUCCUGCAAGAUAACUCCAUUAAUAGUGAAACAAAUGCAGACCCCCAUUGUGAACCAUUUGUUCUUUUGCUAUAAGAUAGAAGUUUCAUGUCUAGAUUUUAUCUUUGUCAUUCAUCACAUCAUACAUCGAUUUUGGCUUUAGAUCUGAAAAACACUGUAAAAUAUGGUGGAACAUAGUCAAAGAAACUGAUAAUGCUUAUCUUUAGUAGUCAUCGACAUUAUAAUGUACAUUUCGACAUACUUUUCCCUGUAUUGAAGGGUAGGCAAAAAUUUUACACCAACAAGUCACUUCUAUUUGCUAAAAUGAACCUAAUGUGUUCCCUAAUCUGUCUUGCUGGUAUCUCUCAUGUCAGAAGACCAAGAAAAGCAUCGAGAAAAGGUAGAAGGAAUGUAGGAGAAGAAAUUUUUUGUAUGCAUUGUAUAUUUUCUAUUGUGUACAAAGUGUAUUUAAUUACAAAGAAAGAGAUUAAUAAAGGAAAAGAAAUAUUCUCCUAUCUUUCUAAUCCUAAAAUAAACAUGAUUCUCUACCUAUCAACAAUUAGAUACGAUUUGAUGAAUCAUGCAACAUAAAUGUUCUGAUGAUAGCCUAUCAAAUGAGAUGUAAGACGAGAUGGGAUAACGAGUACUUGACGAUCUUGAAGAACCACAUAUGUAAUCCUUUGUCCAAGCUGGAGGGCGAGUUGCUAAACUAGAACGUCGUGGAAGUUCUUGUUGCAUUGAAGAGGACUCUUCUUCAGCAGGGGUUGAUUAUGGAUGUUCAGUGAAUUGGGCUGAUUCUUCUAUAUGAGACUCUUCAGUGGAGUGACUCGUAGAUGUCUCAAUAGGUAGUGUAGGCGAUUCACCAGUUGGUCCUGGGAGAGGAGUAGCAAGAAAUGUACCUCCCCAAAGAUAUCUUAUUCCAAUAAGAAUCUUGAAUUCCCUAUCUUCUCAUCUUCAAUUGAAGAAAUAAGAGUUUGGAAAGGAAAAAUAUUCUCAUGAAAAAUAACAUAUCUGCUUACGAAAAAUUCUCCUAUGGAUGGUGCAUAAAUCCGAUACCCCUUUUGCAAAGUAGGAUAUCCCAUGAAUAUACAUUCACUAGCUCGUGGUGCCAUCUUAUCCUUGUGUCCCACUGUAGUGACAUAACAGAGACAUCCAAAAACUCUGAGAUGACUUAGAUUCGGUUUCUUUCCAUACAACAUCUCAAAUGGCGUCUUUCAUUUCAGAAUACGUGAGGGCAUGCGAUUAAUCAAAUAUGCUGCUGUGACCACACAAUCUCCCCAAAAAUUCUCAGGAAUAGAUGCUUGAAAUUUGAGGGCAUGUGCUACUUCUAAGAGAUGACGAUGUUUCCUCUCAACAACACCAUUUUGCUGUGGUGUAUAAGUGCAAGAACUCUCAUGCAAGAUUCCAUUCAGUGAAAAUAAAGAAGCACACUCACUAUUGAAGAACUCCCUUCCAUUAUCAGUUCUAACCCGACGGAUUGUUUUUCCAAAUUGAGUUUUGGACAAGGUAAGGAAUGUUCUUAGGUGAGCAAAGACUUGAUUCUUGGAUUGCAUGAGGAAUAUCCAUGUCGCAUGAGAGAAAUCAUCAACAAUUGUGAGGAAAUAUCGUGACCCAUCGUGAUGCAUAGUAUGAUAGGGUCCCCAAACAUCAGCAUGGAUCAACGAAAAAAAUACUAAUUUGCUUGGGAAUUACUAUUUGGAAAAGGAGCACGUGUUUGCUUUGCCAAAGGACAGAUAGGACACCGGGGACAAGGGAAUAAGGCACUAUGUCCCAAUCUUUUAUGAUGAAGGGAAUUUUUGUCAUUGAUAACAUGGUUACACAAUGAAUUAUUGAAUUCAACAAACGAAAAAUUAAAAUUGUUGGGAAAAUGCAUCCAAAAAUAGAGCCCUUGAUAAGCUUUACCCAAGCCCAUCAGUUUGCCAGUCGAAAUGGCCUGAAGGAAACAAUUAUCUGGAGUGAAUAGGACACGACAUGAAUUUUCUUCAGAAGCUCGAUUAACUGAUAGGAGGUUGAAUUGGAAGUCAGGCACAUAAAGUAUAUUUCGAAGUGUAAUUAGGGGACUAAGAUUCACAGUGCCGGUCAUGACAACUUGUGUGGAAUUUCCAUUUGGAAGUUGUACUGAUAUAGGAAAGAAUAAUUUCUGGAUUUUGGAAAAGAAACCCUUAUCACAGAUUAUGUGAUCACUAGCACCUGAAUCAAUAAUCCAUGCAUUUUUCGAAAUUGAGUUCAUCAAGCAAUAAGAUGUACAUAUGAAGCUUCCAACCUUAUUAGAUGUAUCCAACAUUUUUAAAGCCCUCAUCAAUUCCUGAUACUGCUCAUGGGCAAUUGAUUUUUCUGUUGGUUGACUUAGUACAUGAAAAACUCGUGAAGAUUUUCUUCAUUCUUUUUCUCUAGGUCUCCCAUGUAAUUUCCAACAGUUUUCAAUUGUAUGAUGCGGACGUUUACAAUAGUCACAAUAUGAUUUACCUUUUUCCUUUUUGACCAUUGUUUUUUUGUAGUUGAAAGGAAUCUAUUGUUGGGCUGGAAAAUUUGAGCCGAAGUGGGCCCGUACGGUCCUUCUGGUCCAGUGGGCUAGAUUCCUUGUGGCUCAUUUUUCGCGCGCCUGAAUUCUUCCUCACAACCUGUCGACUUCGUGCAGCCCAUUUGCUCCGGCGAAAGUGCUCCGUGGGCCGUCCGAGAAGGGCCCAGUUGAUAAAAAAGAGAGACCGUUCGAUUGCUCGCCAAGAUCUGAGCCAUCCAUUUGUUCAGCAAAAAACAAGUUAGGGUUUCGCCCCCCCCCCCCCAACCCCCCCGGGUUCGCCCCCUUUUCUCCUCCGAUUUUUUGGGUUUCUUGUGGGGGGGGCUAAUGGGCUCUGGGCGUCAAAGGCCUCGCCUCACUUCCCCCUCCCUAAGUCAUUGUCCUCUGUUGGCUCUCUUCCUGAACGGUGAGCUGGUAGAUCCGGCCAAGAUUUGGCAUGGGAUCCAUUGUUAGGAUCUGGGACCGAAACGAAAGGUAUGUUUCGUUUAAGAUUAGGAGAAACCUAAUUGCCUUUUCUCUCUCGCGCAUGUUCUUGUACUGCAGGAGAACGGGUUCGAGCCAUUCAAAUUUUUCUUCGGCCAAUUCCAUUUCAUUCUAGAGUGCCGACAAUUUAUUGUAAACUGUCGCGACGCUCAUAUUCCCUUGCUUCAAAUCUGAAAUUUGCUGUGUUAUGGAAAAAAUCUUGAUUUGAUCUAGCUUUCCAUACAUCUCUUUAAUAUUGUCCUACAUCUCUUUCGUAUCUUCUGUCGGAGGAAGUCCCAUUGCUACUUCGGGUGAGAUACAAUUCCCAAUCCAAGUUCUAACGAGCUGGUUACAUUUUUUCAAAAAACAAGCCAUUCGCUUGUUGGUUGGAAUCGGAAUUGUUCUGUCUAGAAAACCCUCCUUAUCCUUCGUUACCAAGGUAUGCCGGAGUUCCCGCGACCAAGUCGAGUAAUUCUCUGGGCCCGUCAAUAGCUAACUGAUCAGUUUCAGUUUUGGUCCGUCGGCGUUCAUUGUGUACAGAGGGUCGCUAAGCUCCGACCAUCCUCCGGCAGCAAGGAUCUGAUAAGGAAAAAAACCAGGUGAAAAAUUUAGGUAGGUAUUCGCCCCUACAUUUGCUCUGUUUUCUUGACCCGCAUUAAGGAAAUUUGGGUAGGGAUUCAUCCCCCCGAUUCACUAGAUCCGCCCGUCUGCUCCGAGCCGAAGGUAGAGCCUGCCCCACUAUUGGUUGGUGCGCCUCCGUCGGUCCGCACGUUGCUUUGAUACCCCGGCUGUGAUGUAUGUGGGUUUACCCCCAUGGAUCCAUGGAUAUGGCAUCCACUGCUAAGAAUGGCCCGAAUAGGGAUGCCCCAAGUUGAAUUGAGCCGGAAGAUUUUUCCAUUGCAUGUGUGGAGACCGGAUCUGGCUUUGGCUGAAUUGUUGCUCCGCCAUGGUCGUCACAACGGUUGAAUCUGGAUUGUGCGUACUCUGUGGCGUUGCAUCUCUCGCUGGCUGGUCAUUUGGUUUUAAGGUGAGAGCUUCCGAUUUGUUCAUUGUAAAAGAAAUUUUUCAAGAGGGAUUGAUUCCUUUCGGUAACUGUUUUGCAAGUUACCAUUCCUCAAGGCAGUCAGGAAUGGUGGACGUGGAAGCUAUGCCAGAAUCGCAGGAAGCUCUGAUACCAUGUCAGAAGACCAAGAAAAGCAUCGAGAAAAGUUAGAAGGAAUGUAGGAGAAUAAAUUUUUUGUAUUCACUGUAUAUUUUCUAUUGUGUAGAAAGUGUAUUUAAUUACAAAGAAAGAGAUUAAUAAAGGAAAAGAAAUAUUCUCCUAUCUUUCUAAUCCUAAAAUAAACAUGAUUCUCUACCUAUCAACAAUUAGAUACGAUUUGAUGAAUCAUAUCUUUCAACAUCUCACGAUCUGUUCAUGUGAGAUGUCAGAUUGAGGAAAACUUCUUCACAAGGAAUCCUAAGGCCACCCAUCGGAUGAUCGAACCCAAACUCUUCUUCAGCUCGACUAGCAAGUCUUGAAAUGAAGGCCGAGUUAAACGAGAUAUUGGAACUACAUAUCUCCGCUUCUGGGUGUCUCCAACAUAAACUGCAAAAUAGCCCCUGGGCACACCAAUGGCCAUUGGAACUGCCUGCUUUUCAGUAAAUAGAGAUCAUCAAAUAAUCUACUUAGCGAGUCCGACAAUGGGCAAAUGGCUUCCCAUGAUUAUAUUUCUGCAUAAACUUUUAGAGAAGAGAAAACAAGAUCUACCCUUAAUUGUAUUGCUAUCUCUCUAGUAAGAAAAUGUGAAUUGAUCAGUUCUAUGUUGUUUGUAGAACUCAUCAAUCGGUUCUACUUAUAUAGAUGAGCUAUAGGUGGAAUUUAAUGUGUCAUGUUGAAUAUGUGUAGGAAUAGUCAUCUAACAUGCAUGGCCCAGGUAAGAAACAUAAGCCUUUAAGAGGUCACAUGGUAUUGUUUUCCAGCUAAUGAACUAAUGAUGUCUAUUUCAGGAAUGAAACUGAAGACACAAUGCCCCACUUCAGAACAUUUGAUAGAGGUCCUGAUAAUUCCCUGGAGAGAGUGGUGGCAUGAGCCUCUUGAUAAAAUUUGGUGGAACAUGGUGGACCACUUUUACUGACCAACAUGUUUGAGAAAUCAGCCAAUGUUGCCACAUGAGUAGUAGGGUCAUCUGAAAAUGAUCCUUGCCUACACAUGAUUUAAUAUCAUGGGGUAGUUGUUUUGGGAAGAAAAUGAGGUUCGGUGAAGUGGCAUAUUACGCCCUGGAUAUAACAAGUCUUGUAUUGACUGUAUAAAAAUAGUCGGUUCUAAUCUAAAUACAGUCCAUUGGCCACAAUUUGUGUCCUAGCUGCAUAUUUUGCUGUAGUUUGCCUCCGGAUCAAUGAAUGGUUUAUAGUAAAACAUGUAUUAGACAAAAAAUCAAAAUGUUGCAGAAAAAACUGGAAAUUACAGAGAUUCAGUCCUUAAAAAGCGAAAAUUCAAGAGGGUAGGCAAAACAUUUGCCUAAAAGUUCGUUGGGGCUGCAGACUUGUAAUCUGCUGAUUUUAUGGAAAAAUUACAAGAUCCAGCCAGCAGGUUCCUGGCAUAUAUGAAGUUAAGAGCGGGAAAAAUGAGAGUUAACAGCUCAAUGAGAUGUAACAGCCCUGUAAACUUCGUGAGGGAAAUUUUUGAUGGAGAUGCAGAUUUCAUUUUGCAAUCUAUUCUUUAGCCUUCAGUUUAUUCACUUGAUUUACAAAAAGAUCUAAUUGACCUUUUUGGUCUCCAAUCCUUGUCAUACGCCAAUUCUUGGUUAGGUCGUGGUGAGAAAAACAAUGUACUGCAACUCUGGACAGUAGCAUAUAGAAGCAACUCUUGGAUACUUCUUUUCUUCGAACCAUUGUCAGUUCACAUAAAACAAGAGGUGGAAACAAGAGUGCCUCUAGCACAGUAUGAUCAUACUGAAGAUCAGUUGGUAAUGAAGUAUAUAUCCUUAAGACUGAAUUUCUUUGCUUCCAGCACAAAGUCAUUGCCAAAAUGAUGAAUUGAUCACUAGGACAACCAGAUAUCCACAUAUAGAGAAUCAAUGUUAUUGAUCAACAUUGCAUCUUCAGUUGUACAUCUAUCUCCUUAAACUGUUACUCGCUAAACAAGAGGUAAAAAGAUCUACACUGGUCGUAAAAUUUGUUUACAAAAUCGUGUCAGGUCUAUCGACUAAUCUAUCUAGGAGUUCUCUAGUCAGGAUUGAUUAUCCAUCUAUGAGGCUGAGGAAAACUUCUUCAUUGAACGGAAUCGUGAGGCCUCCCAUUGGAUGAUUGAAGCCAAACUCCUCCUCAGCUUGAUUCAGCAGGUCCUGGAACAAGGGCCGAGAUAAGUAUGACAGAGGAACAUGGUCCUGUCUUGCAACUCAUCAACAGGAACUUUAAUAUCGAUCGAGACUAUUCAUUUUGUAUUGGAGUGCACCCUAUGCCCUACCACAGCCAGCAUAAGAAACCGGUGAAAAGGACCACCAGGAAGACAAGAAGGGUGGACAAGGUCACUUGCAAUGCCAAUUAUGGCGAAUCAUUGCUGAAGCAGAGGGAGGAGUAUUUAGAAGUUGUCAGAAUUAGCUCUUCAAAGAGCUGUAGUUGCUGGGUGAGUGGCCAGGCCUCCGAAAUCAAUGACUUAUUUGUUGAAGAAGUCAAAAUCAAUUGGACAUAAACCGGGAGGUUGUGCUCAUUGGUCAUAUCUGUGAUGAAACAUUUUAUAAGUGAACUUUAACUAACACUCAAUGACCAGUAAAGCAGCUUAGUAUAACUAUGCCAUCUGUUUUUUCUUUGUUUUCGUGGUAUUUACUUAAUUUGUAUCAAUGUUUUUGGCAUUUAUCGGUAACUUAGAGAUCAUGCUCUUUUAAAUGCGUAAGCAGCUUCACAUCGGCCUAAAAUAAAGCUGGCUGCAGAGCAAGUUAUAGUAUCACGUGAUCAUCAAGAAAUCUUCCAUUGCUCCUGAACCUGUUACAGCAGAAUUCUGCCCAACUAUGAGGAGACAAUAAUUAAACUUAAGAAUGUGACUGGAUAGCCAGGACAAAGGGAAUGAUUUGGGUAAGUGUCACCCUGCCUAGCGAGGCCGGCGGUGGGAAAACGGAUUCCCAUGACUAUAUUUCUUUGUAAACUUUUAGAGAAGAGAAAACGAGAUUGACCUUUGACUGUAUUGCUCUCUCUGAUAAGAGAAAGUGAAUUGUUCAGUUCUAUGUUGCUUGUUAUAUUCAUCAAUAAAUUUUACUUAUUUAGAUGAGCAGGAGGUGAAUUUCAUGUGCCAUGUCGACUAUGUGGAGGAAGUCAUCUAACAUGCAUGGCCCAGGGAAGAAACAUAAGCACUUGAGAGGUCACAUGGUAUUGUUUUCCAGCUAAUGAACUAAAUGUGUCCAUUUCAGGAAUAAAACUGAAGACAUAAUGCCCCACUUCAGAACAUUUAAUAGAGGUCCUGAUAAUUUCCUGGAGAGAGUGGUGGUACGAGAUCCUCUUGUGAAAAUUUGGCAGAACAACGGUGUGCCACUCGUACAAACUAACAUGUUUGAGACAUUAGCCAAUGUUGCCCCGAGUAGUAGGGUCACCUGAAAAUGAUCCUUGCUUAGGUAUGGUUUAAUAUCAUGGGGUAAUUGUUUUAUGCAGAAAAUAAGGUUCGGUGAGGUGGCAUAUUGCGCCCUGGAUACUACAAGUGUUAUAUUAACUGCAUUGCAAUAGUUGGAUCUAAUCUAAAUGCUGUCCAUUGGCCACUAUUUGCGUCCUAAUUGCACAUUUUCCUGUACUUCACCUCCAAAUCAAUCAAUGGUUUAUACUAAAACAUAUACUGGAUUAGAAAAAAAAUUAAAAUGUUGGGGAAAAAACUGGAAAUUACAGAGAUUCAGUCCUUAAAAAGUGAAAAGUCAAGAGGGUAGGCAAAACAUUUGCCUACAAGUUUGUUGGGGCUGCAGACUUGUAAUCUGCUGAUUUUAUGGAAAAAUUACAAGAUCCAGCUAGCAGGUUCCUGGCUUAUUAUUAAGUUAAGAGUGGGAAGAAUGAGAGUUAACAGCUAAAUGAGAUGUAACAGCCUGUAAACUUCAUGAGGGAAAAAUUUUGAUGGAGAUGCAGAUUGAUUUUGCAAUCUAUUAUUUAGCCCUUCAGUUUAUUCACUUGAAUAAACUGAUCAUACUAAAGAUCAGUUGGUUAUUAGGUAUAUAUCCUUAGACUGAAUUUCUUUGCUUCCAGCAGAAAGUGAAUACCAGAAGGACGAAUAAAUCACUAGGAAAACCAGAUAUCCACAUAUAGAGAAAUCAAUGUUAUUGAUCUAAAUUGCAUCUUCAAUUGUACAUCUGUCUAUCUCCUUAAACCAGUACUCCCUAAACAAGAGGGAAAAACAUCUACACUGGUCAUAAAAUUUGUUUACAAAAUCGUGUCAAGUGUAUUGACUAAUCUAUCUAGGAGUUCUCUAGUCAGGAUUGAUCAUCCAUCUAUUAGGCUGAGGAAAACUUCUUCGUUGCAUGGAAUCAUGAGGCCUCCCAUUGGAUGAUCGAAGCCAAACUCCUCCUCAGCUUGAUUCAGCAGGUCCUGGAACGAGGGCCGAGAUAAGUAUGACAGAGGAACGAUGAAUCUCUUCUUCUGGUUUUCUCCUACAUAAACUGGAAAAUGCCCCUUUGGAACGUCCAAGGGUGCAGAAUCUCCUUCUCUGCGACCAGAUAGAGACCGCCGCAACUUUUUUCCUGGCAAGCUGAUCCCCAUGAUCACGUGUCUGGAAACUCUUUUUCAAGAGGAAAGACUUGAGGAAGAUGCUAUGCCACUCGCUGGAAGGAAAUAGGAAGAAAAUUGAAUUCUGAUUUGGGUGCAGAAGCAAUGGCUUGGUAAUGUAUAUAUAGGGUAAGUGGAUGGCAAGUGAGUUUAUCUGCUAAGCUGAAUGAGUGACAGGAGGUUGCAGCAUAUAGGGCCAAAGGAG
rnacentral:lncRNA from 1 species